GAGUUUGAUCCUGGCUCAGAACGAACGCUGGCGGCGUGCCUAACACAUGCAAGUCGAACGCGAAAAGUAGUAAUACUGAGUAGAGUGGCGCACGGGUGAGUAACACGUAACUGACAUGUCCUAGAGACAGGGAUAACCGUUCGAAAGGAUGGCUAAUACCUGAUAAGCCCACGGGUUUGGACCUGAGGGAAAAGGAUCGGGAUUUUUCGAAACCGAUAGCUUUAGGAGUGGGUUGCGGCCCAUCAGCUAGUUGGCGGGGUAAGAGCCCACCAAGGCUAAGACGGGUAGCUGGUCUGAGAGGAUGAUCAGCCACACUGGAACUGAGACACGGUCCAGACUCCUACGGGAGGCAGCAGUGGGGGAAUCUUGCGCAAUGGGAGAAAUCCUGACGCAGCAACGCCGCGUGGGUGAUGAAGGUCUUCGGAUCGUAAAGCCCUGUCGGAGGGGAAGAUGCUUGUGCAUGUUAAUAGUAUGCAUAGGUGACGGUA
rnacentral:rRNA from 1 species